rnacentral:rRNA from 1 species
GAUUUGAAGGUUGUUCCCUAGAGGAGUGGCUUUCGGAGCUAACGCGUUAAAUCGACCGCCUGGGGAGUACGGCCGCAAGGUUAAAACUCAAAUGAAUUGACGGGGGCCCGCACAAGCGGUGGAGCAUGUGGUUUAAUUCGAUGCAACGCGAAGAACCUUACCUACUCUUGACAUCCAGAGAAUUUAGCAGAGAUGCUUUAGUGCCUUCGGGAACUCUGAGACAGGUGCUGCAUGGCUGUCGUCAGCUCGUGUUGUGAAAUGUUGGGUUAAGUCCCGCAACGAGCGCAACCCUUAUCCUUUGUUGCCAGCGAUUCGGUCGGGAACUCAAAGGAGACUGCCGGUGAUAAACCGGAGGAAGGUGGGGAUGACGUCAAGUCAUCAUGGCCCUUACGAGUAGGGCUACACACGUGCUACAAUGGCGUAUACAAAGAGAAGCGACCUCGCGAGAGCAAGCGGAACUCAUAAAGUACGUCGUAGUCCGGAUUGGAGUCUGCAACUCGACUCCAUGAAGUCGGAAUCGCUAGUAAUCGUAGAUCAGAAUGCUACGGUGAAUACGUUCCCGGGCCUUGUACACACCGCCCGUCACACCAUGGGAGUGGGUUGCAAAAGAAGUAGGUAGCUUAACCUUCGGGAGGGCGCUUACCACUUUGUGAUUCAUGACUGGGGUGAAGUCGUAACAAGGUAACC